rnacentral:rRNA from 1 species
CUACGGGAGGCACCAGUGGGGAAUCUUGCACAAUGGAGGAAACUCUGAUGCAGCGAUGCCGCGUGAGUGAAGAAGGCCCUUGGGUUGUAAAGCUCUUUCGUCGGGGAAGAAAAUGACUGUACCCGAAUAAGAAGGUCCGGCUAACUUCGUGCCAGCAGCCGCGGUAAUACGAAGGGACCUAGCGUAGUUCGGAAUUACUGGGCUUAAAGAGUUCGUAGGUGGUUGAAAAAGUUAGUGGUGAAAUCCCAGAGCUUAACUCUGGAACUGCCAUUAAAACUUUUCAGCUAGAGUAUGAUAGAGGAAAGCAGAAUUUCUAGUGUAGAGGUGAAAUUCGUAGAUAUUAGAAAGAAUACCAAUUGCGAAGGCAGCUUUCUGGAUCAUUACUGACACUGAGGAACGAAAGCAUGGGUAGCGAAGAGGAUUAGAUACCCUAGUAGUC